UCUGUUUAGAUGGUGUUAAAGGGAGUAGAUCUGUCCUUCAAAUGCAACAUUUUAAAUUGGAGAGGAGAGUUUCACCUGCCACAUCCACCAAUGCUUUAACAGCAUGAAUCCCAGGGACCAAGGACAGGAGUUGAACUCUGGAUCUAACUCAUGCAUCAUCAUUUAAAUUGAUUUCACAACAGGCUUACCGGUACUUCUAUAAGCUGUAAGCUGUUUGCCACAACAGCUGUCAUUGCUAUAAUCUCCAUGGUUGGAGAUGGACUGAUAUCAUCUGCAAACUAGUUUUCUUUUGCACUCUGAAGCUUCUGGGCUGAAGGAAAUUUUAUUUUCUUCUUUUUAGAGUGUAUUAAGGAAACACAUGAUGGCAGUCUUUAAAAAGAUGGUAGUGAAAGCGAGAAAAAUGUAUACACGAAAAAUUGAUUUUGGCUGCAGUUUUACCGUUUCUAUUCUGCAUAUUUUUUCCUUAUUUUUCCUGUCAGACAUUGUUCUUUUUUAAAAGACUCAUCGUCUACUCUUACACCCAGUUUCAUGUACAUCAUAUGUCAUUGGUGCCGCACAUCAACACCAUGAAAUAUUUGUUUGGCGCCCAGUAGUAUAAUAUUACUAAAUUUGUGCAGCAGAUUAUUGUAUGAAUGCCUUACUUUAUUUUCAGUCUUUACAUUAUAACUGAGCUUAAUGGUACUCUGUCAGAUGGAGUGAAAAAUUUAUGGUUUAUUACGCCACAAAGCUUCAGUGCAGAGUGCAAACAUUCAACUAAUGCCUGCAGUAAUGGGUAUAAAAAAACAUAAGAUCCUGCAGGGAGAGAAAAUAUACAUCCAUAACUUGCUGAGAGGAAUCUUACUGCAUAAAAUGGGAAAAUAAUAUAAAUCUUUAAUGAAGUAGUGACAGGAAUAACCCUCUUCCAAUUGAAAUGAGGAUAAGCAUGUGUUAUACACAGAUAAUCGCAACUGUAAAAGAAAAUGCAUUCAUACUGUACAUUUGUACAUUCUGUAUAAAUGUUUUUUACAUCUUAUAGCAUAUUGCAAUUAACAGAAAAUUUAAUUUUUACUUGGCCAAGCAUUUCAGAUAUUUCUUUGACUGGACUUCAGUAGGUUAAACAGAGGAGGUGUUUCUUUAGAUCUUAAAACAUCUUGAUGAGCUUUGGACUUUGGGGCAUUGAGUAUUUUUUAUUAUUAUUAUUUUAAUAUCUGUAAAGAUAAUUUAAGUCAUAUAUAUAAAUAUAGUACACUAUUUAGGGCAAAUAAAGUUUUAGCGUCAUCUUGGUUCACAUCAUACAAUUUAGAAUUUCUUUUGAGCUAAACAAAGGGCUUUAAUUUAUUUCAACCCAAAUCGUAAUAUCAUGUAGUCAUGCAGUACCUAUUCACAAAAGUAAAAUGCAAAUUGACUGACUGUGAAGAACAGACUGUUAUUCUUAUAAACGGUGAAAUAUAAGAAAAUAAUUGUUUUUCUAAAACCCAAUUUUACCAGUUAAAUAAUAUAGUUUAAUUUGACUCAAUCUGUGUAACAUUUUAAUAUUCAGUUGCACAAGGUACUGUUAUAGCAGAAGAGAAAAAAGUUUAAAGCUGAUUACUAAAUUUGUUUUUUGGAAUAUUUGAGUUUAUAUAAAUGAUAUGGCCUUCAGCACCAAUCAUUGAACCUCAUGUGGCCCUGGAGGGAAAUAAAUAAAACUUGUCCAUCCCCAUGUUUUAUAAACAUUGAAAAUUUGUUUUAAGGCAUACAUGAGACUAUGCUAUUAGCUGAGCAUAAUAUUCACAAAAAAUAUUAAAAUUAUGAAUAAUCUUUACUUAAAAAAAUGAAAAUGUUGCCUUUGAGCUCUUGUCAGCAUUACAUAACACUAAGUCUUGAAAACAGUGCAGUAAUUGUGUUGUGUCUUUGUGAUUAUCACAGGGAACAAAUUCCACUGCAGUAAACCUGACUUUAAUAUCACUGAAUGUUCUGAAGAUGUAAAUAAUUUUAUCAAGUCAACCACAAGUUGCAUGAAUAAAUGAAUUUUAAAAUUAAUCAUUAAAGGUAAGAUAAGUAUAGAUAAUCAAGUCCUGCUGCAAAAACGUGUCUUGUGUUCUGACUGUAUUGAUUUUCCAUGUAUGUGCUUCAGCAGCAGUAAUACUUGUAGCUAAGACAUGAAAGGAGGAGCAACAGCUAGUGCCAAACAACAUGUACUUUUUAUGACAAUGUAGGUCAUUGUUGUUACGUUUCCAACUAACAACUGUUAAAAGGGUAAAUCAAUAGGUAAUUUUGGGGUCAGACAAGAGUGGUUGAAUCAAUAUCUUGAAUCAAGCAACCCACUGAAAAGCUCUUGGGAAGCUUGGUAAAAGGAUUACCCUCUGCUACCCUUAAGUUUUCACUCCAUAAUUGUCUUUGAGCUGUGAUGAACAUCACAGACAUGACCAAGUCCUCAACCCACAC